rnacentral:rRNA from 1 species
GUCCACGCCCUAAACGAUGGAUACUAGAUGUAAGAGGUAUCAACCCCUCUUGUGUCGCAGCUAACGCAUUAAGUAUCCCGCCUGGGGAGUACGGCCGCAAGGUUGAAACUCAAAUGAAUUGACGGGGACCCGCACAAGCGGUGGAGCAUGUGGAUUAAUUCGAUACUAACCGAAGAACCUUACCCAGGUUUGACAUCGAUGGCAAGCCCAUGAAAGUGGGCCCUCCCCCACAAGGGGACCUGAAGACACUUGUUGCAUGGCUGUCGU